GGGGGCGUCACGGUUUCGACGGGGUUGCUUGUGGCAGAGAGGCAUGCCGGGGUGUGGACACCCGUAAUCGCUCACAAAACUAUAAGUGCCGAACCUCAAUUCGCGCUUGCUGCUUAAUUAAUUAGGUAGCCGAUUGCUUCCGCUUCGCCUACGGGCGGAUACCAAUCGUCGCACAGUAGGCUGGUCAAAGCUGUUCCGUCUGGACGGCAAUGACGAGAUCAAUCAGGCUGGUCGGUGUCGCGUCUUCGCCCGUUCUAAGCGCCAUUGACGAGACAAAGAUGAACCUGGGAAAAGCAUGAAUGCUCUCUGUUGGAAGUUUCUUCGGACGGGAGUUCAACUCUCCCCGCCUCCACCA
rnacentral:tmRNA from 1 species